rnacentral:lncRNA from 1 species
AGCAAGAUCAGCACUUGCACCGGGAUCUGAAAUUGUAGGGAGAGAAACAUCAGUUACAAAGUAAUUAAAUUAGUCUAUGCAUAUUUAACUUCAUCAAUUAGACUACUUGAGCAAUUCAAAGCACCAAACCUAUAAAACCCUGAAGGACCAACUUCAGUAGGCGGAACACAAACAGCUAGCAUCAGCAACAAAGGAAUAACUGCCAGGCAGGUAUUGCUCAAGAGUGCAAAAACUAAGUUAAGGGACAACACCCAGCCUAAAGAAACUAAGUUUUAGGCCAUCAAGGUCCAACAGGUUAGGAAUUCUAGAUGUAGCAUGCAUUUCCAUGCAUCGUACAGUAAUGUCCUUUUAGUGAGACACUGAUUAUGAAGAGAAGAGCCAAUUUUCCAGAUUCUCCUCUAGGCAAUAUUUAUUGCCAGUAGCUUUAACAUCUCUAGUAAACCAGAGCAUUUUAUAGGAGAACAACCACACUUAGUUUUCAUUAGUUAGGAUCCUCAAUUGCUCAGUUGCAUUAUGGCAUUAUAAUUGCUUAGUAGUAAACUAUGAUGUGUGAGUGAGCACCGACAGGGCUUAACUUUUCUAUAAGAAUAGUCAAUUGCAUGAUGCAUUUGACACUUCAAUGAA